rnacentral:rRNA from 1 species
GGCAGGCUUAACACAUGCAAGUCGAGCGGUAGCAGAUCUAGCUUGCUAGAUGCUGACGAGCGGCGGACGGGUGAGUAACGCGUAGGAACCUGCCCAGUAGUGGGGGAUAGCCCGGGGAAACUCGGAUUAAUACCGCAUACGCUCUACGGAGGAAAGAGGGCUUCGGGCUCUCGCUAUUGGAUGGGCCUGCGUGAGAUUAGCUAGUUGGUGAGGUAAUGGCUCACCAAGGCGACGAUCACUAGCUGGUCUGAGAGGAUGAUCAGCCACACUGGGACUGAGACACGGCCCAGACUCCUACGGGAGGCAGCAGUGGGGAAUAUUGCACAAUGGGCGCAAGCCUGAUGCAGCCAUGCCGCGUGUGUGAAGAAGGCUUUCGGGUUGUAAAGCACUCUCAGUGGGGAGGAAGGCCUCGUAGUUAAUAGCUGCGAGGAUUGACGUUACCCACAGAAGAAGCACCGGCUAACUCCGUG